GAUCCUGGCGUCAGGACGAACGCUGGCGGCAUGCCUAAUACAUGCAAGUCGAACGCUGAAGCACUCUGCUUGCAGAGUGCGGAUGAGUGGCGAACGGGUGAGUAACACGUGGGAAAUCUGCCUAGGAGUGGGGGAUAACAUUCGGAAACGGAUGCUAAUACCGCAUAUCUUUUUGAACCGCAUGGUUCUUAAACGAAAGACGGCUUCGGCUGUCGCUCUUAGAUGAUCCCGCGGCGUAUUAGUUAGUUGGUGGGGUAAAGGCCUACCAAGACCAUGAUACGUAGCCGAACUGAGAGGUUGAUCGGCCACAUUGGGACUGAGACACGGCCCAGACUCCUACGGGAGGCAGCAGUGGGGAAUAUUGCACAAUGGGGGAAACCCUGAUGCAGCGACGCCGCGUGGAGGAAGAAGGUCUUCGGAUUGUAAACUCCUGUUGUUGAGGAAGAUAAUGACGGUACUCAACAAGGAAGUGACGGCUAACUACGUG
rnacentral:rRNA from 1 species